GAUGAACGCUGGCGGCAUGCUUUACACAUGCAAGUCGGACGGGAAGGGGUGUUUCCAGUGGCGGACGGGUGAGGAACGCGUAAGAACCUGCCCUUGGGAGGGGAACAACAGCUGGAAACGGCUGCUAAUACCCCGUAGGCAGAGGAGCGAAAGGAGGAAUCCGCCCAAGGAGGGGCUCGGGACUGACUAGUUAGUGGGUGAGGCAAUAGCUUACCAAGGCCGUGGUAAGGAGCUGGUCAGAGCGGACGAUCAGCCAGAGUCGGACUGAGAGCAGACACUGAUACCGGCGGCAGGCGGGGGUGAUGAAGCUUACUGAACGGGCGAAAGCCUCAGGGAGGAAGGGUGCGUGAUGGUAAACGGCCUGCGGGAAAUGAACUUCGUUUGCUGCAGAAGAAGAGAGGAGGGUAUGGGUGGAAUAGGCAUCGGUUAACUCGGU
rnacentral:rRNA from 1 species